rnacentral:rRNA from 1 species
GAUGAACGCUAGCGGCAGGCCUAACACAUGCAAGUCAGGGGGUAACAUAGGAAAGCUUGCUUUUCUGAUGACGACCGGCGCACGGGUGCGUAACGCGUAUACAACCUACCUUUUAGCGGGGAAUAGCCCAGGGAAACUUGGAUUAAUGCCCCAUAGUAUAUAGACUUCUCCUGAAGUUUAUAUUAAACAUUUAUGGCUAUUAGAUGGGUAUGCGUCCUAUUAGUUAGUUGGUAAGGUAACGGCUUACCAAGGCAGCGAUAGGUAGGGGUCCUGAGAGGGAGAUCCCCACACUGGUACUGAGACACGGACCAGACUCCUACGGGAGGCAGCAGUGAGGAAUAUUGGACAAUGGGCGAGAGCCUGAUCCAGCCAUGCCGCGUGCAGGAAGACUGCCCUAUGGGUUGUAAACUGCUUUUACAGAGGAAGAACUACCCCCACGUGUGGGGGUUUGACGGUACUCUGCGAAUAAGGAUCGGCUAACUCCGUG